CACCGCGGUUAUACGAGAGGCCCAAGUUGAUAGACGCCGGCGUAAAGAGUGGUUAGGAAGUUUUUUAAAAUAAAGCCGAAUGCCCUCAGAACUGUCGUACGUACCCGAAGGCAAGAAGCCCCACUACGAAAGUGGCUUUAUACCCCCGACCCCACGAAAGCUGCGAAA
rnacentral:rRNA from 1 species